UUUUAUUACAUAUUUAUUAGUAAACUAAACAAUAAAACUGUAACUAGAAACGCAUUUUCCGAUCAAGAAUUCAUAUGAUUGAUUACCUGCAAAUUUAUCCGUAGUUCCGUUUCUUGUAUAUUAAGUAUUUUCUUUGUUGUUUCCUGUGGUUAUUUGUUUUACCCCUCACUCCCGCCCUAUAUUUCAUUAGUGCAUGUUUGAAUAUUCUGACUUGGCCUUUGGCGCCAAAUAUUGUUUUUGUUUAAAAUAGCAUUCCAAAUUAAAAUCUUACAGAUAUAAUUUAAGAACAUAAUUUAUGCGCUAUAUGCUAUGAGAUCAUCAUAACUAUUUAAGUACAUAAAUCAAAGGUUAAAUAAAGGUACUUUAAAUUUUUUUUUUUUUUUUUCUCCCACAAACACAACCCAAACAAUUAAUCACAAAAUAACUUGUAUAAAUGUUUAGAGUUUAAAAUGUACUGAUACAAUUUACUUUGAUUUCAAAGUAUUUUUGUUCUUCAAUACGCAAUUAUAAGAAAGAAGAAAAAAUCUUCUAACUCAACUCUAAUUUUUUUCCUGCGAACUUAGCAUAUAUAUUUCAAAGAUAUGCAUUAUCGCUAAAUUUUAUGCAAAAAUCUCUUUAAGAAUUCACUUGAUAUUCUCUCGGAGUGAAUGCUUACACUUAAUAGUUAUGAUAACUAUUCAGAAACAAAACAAAAAAAAAUCAACAAAAUACAACAAAACAAUGCGAAAACAACAAAUAAAAAACGUAAUAAUCACCAUAUAAACUUGCACUCUUCCACAAAAAUAUUUCUCGUGUGCUUUGUUUACAUAAAUAUAUAGCUUUGCGCAUUUUCAUAUAGUGCACAAUCUGUAGAUUUCUGUUCUGGUAAAGCAUACAUGGCGCCACAUUGUAGCGCAUUUUUGCCAAUUCUGAAAUUCCACUUAAUUAACUCUCAAAGAACUUCAAAAGAUUUAUUGAUAACUUCAUGGACAU